UACAGAGGUCCCAAGCGUUGUUCGGAUUUACUGGGCGUAAAGGGUGCGUAGGUGGCAGGGUAAGUCUGAUGUGAAAUCUCCGAGCCUAACUCGGAAAUGGCAUUGGAAACUACCUUGCUUGAGGGUUGGAGGGGAGACUGGAAUUCUAGGUGUAGCAGUGAAAUGCGUAGAUAUCUAGAGGAACACCAGUGGCGAAGGCGAGUCUCUGGACAACUCCUGACACUGAGGCACGAAAGCUAGGGGAGCAAACAGG
rnacentral:rRNA from 1 species